GAUGAACGCUGGCGGCGUGCCUAAUACAUGCAAGUCGAGCGAACAGACGAGGAGCUUGCUCCUCUGACGUUAGCGGCGGACGGGUGAGUAACACGUGGAUAACCUACCUAUAAGACUGGGAUAACUUCGGGAAACCGGAGCUAAUACCGGAUAAUAUAUUGAACCGCAUGGUUCAAUAGUGAAAGACGGUUUUGCUGUCACUUAUAGAUGGAUCCGCGCCGCAUUAGCUAGUUGGUAAGGUAACGGCUUACCAAGGCGACGAUGCGUAGCCGACCUGAGAGGGUGAUCGGCCACACUGGAACUGAGACGCGGUCCAGACUCCUACGGGAGGCAGCAGUAGGGAAUCUUCCGCAAUGGGCGAAAGCCUGACGGAGCAACGCCGCGUGAGUGAUGAAGGUCUUCGGAUCGUAAAACUCUGUUAUUAGUGAAGAACAAAUGUGUAAGUAACUAUGCACGUCUUGACGGUACCUAAUCAGAAAGCCACGGCUAACUACGUG
rnacentral:rRNA from 1 species